rnacentral:rRNA from 1 species
AUUGAACGCUGGCGGCAGGCUUAACACAUGCAAGUCGGGCGGAAACGAAGGUAGCUUGCUACCAGGCGUCGAGCGGCGAACGGGUGAGUAACGCGUAGGAAUCUACCUAAUAGAGGGGGAUAGCCCGGGGAAACUCGGAUUAAUACCGCAUACGCCUACGGGGAAAGGCAGGGAGUCUUCGGACCUUGCGCUAUUAGAUGAGCCUGCGUCGGAUUAGCUAGUUGGUAGGGUAAAGGCCUACCAAGGCAACGAUCUCUAGCUGGUCUGAGAGGACGAUCAGCCACACUGGGACUGAGACACGGCCCAGACUCCUACGGGAGGCAGCAGUGGGGAAUAUUGGACAAUGGGCGAAAGCCUGAUCCAGCAAUGCCGCGUGUGUGAAGAAGGCCUGAGGGUUGUAAAGCACUUUCAAUCGUGAAGAAAAGUUGCAGGCUAAUACCCUGUGACCUUGACGUUAACGAUACAAGAAGCACCGGUCUAACUCCGUGCCAGCAGCCGU